rnacentral:rRNA from 1 species
UAUAGUAGAUUAUGUUGUGAAUUUGUUAGAUCUCUUAAACUAAGCAGGGAUGGCCCUGAUUACUACAUGGAUGGGAAACUUCCAGGGAAAUCUGAGGAACUGCUAUGA